UGACCGCUGGCGGCAUGCCUUACACAUGCACGUCGAACGGCAGCACGGGUGCUUGCACCUGGUGGCGAGUGGCGAACGGGUGAGUAAUACAUCGGAACAUGUCCUGUAGUGGGGGAUAGCCCGGCGAAAGCCGGAUUAAUACCGCAUACGAUCUACGGAUGAAAGCGGGGGACCUUCGGGCCUCGCGCUAUAGGGUUGGCCGAUGGCUGAUUAGCUAGUUGGUGGGGUAAAGGCCUACCAAGGCGACGAUCAGUAGCUGGUCUGAGAGGACGACCAGCCACACUGGGACUGAGACACGGCCCAGACUCCUACGGGAGGCAGCAGUGGGGAAUUUUGGACAAUGGGCGAAAGCCUGAUCCAGCAAUGCCGCGUGUGUGAAGAAGGCCUUCGGGUUGUAAAGCACUUUUGUCCGGAAAGAAAUCCUUGGCCCUAAUACGGUCGGGGGAUGACGGUACCGGAAGAAUAAGCACCGGCUAACUACGUG
rnacentral:rRNA from 1 species